AUUCACGUACAAAUCGAAAUAAAUCAGUUCAUCAAAAUUCACUAAAAUCAACCAAAACUAAUAAAAACAACUGAUAUCUUUCAAUAUCAAAUCCGAUAUAAAAAAUUAUCUUUAAGUAUAUCGUAUUUUAAUAUAACUAAAACGUAUUGAUUGAUACUAUCAAUACCAAAAUAAAAUUAACGGUUAUGAUAUGAACGUUAUAAAAUUUAAUUUUUGUGAUUUUGUCUUCUCUUUUAAUCUUAUCAAUGAAAAAUGAUUAAAUUAUAUUAUUUAUAUUUUCUUUUAUUGUCACAAUAAUAUAUAAUUAUGCAAACUUUACAAAAAGAACGAAGCUUUCUCAUGACCUAAAACACCAUGCCCUUUUCUCCGUUCAUAAUUAUGAUAUGAUAUCCUCCAAACAAUUGGACUAAUAACUCUCCCAUUGAAAAUCCUUAACAGGUCACAACUUGCAUCUUCACAUUUUCUUUAAGCAACAUAAAUAUAUAUAUUUAUAUAUAUAUAUAUAAAAUAAAUUCUUAAUAACUUGUUUGUCUUCUUAAACCUAACUCUAUUUAAGGAUGGCGACUGCCCUCCAUCCACCCGUUUUGUGGCUGCCCUCCUUGUAUAGUUAAAGUCAACCAAUUAACGUAAUCAACCAAACCUUCUUUUAUGCAUUACGCACUCCAGUAAAAUAAUAAAAUCACUUUGUUUUAUAUUAUAAAAUUAUUAUUUUGUUAAGUAUCUUUAAGCAUACUUUAUAGCUAACACAUGCGUUGAGCAUUCCCUGUCAAGGGUUGAUCUCAUAUGCAGAAAUGCCAAUGAAAUCUCCUAAUGAAACAGGCUUUUAAAACAAGUGAGGUAGCUCAUACCCAAUGGAGGUUUGUUAGGGUUGGAUGAUUAAAGCCUUGAAGGGUAGCUCAGUCUUUUGAAGAGGAAAACAAGUGAAUGGCAGUUAAAUAUGAUAAUUUAAAAUAUAAU
rnacentral:lncRNA from 1 species